CUGAGGGCCCUUAACCCAAUCCUGUACCCUUCCCUCACCUCUUACGGAUCCGCUCUGCUCCCCAUUGUUUGGCUGCAGCUCCAUGAUUCUGACAGCGAUGAUGGGUCGUCGUGAUUUCGACGGCGACAAAGGAGAAUAAGGUGAGGUAUUGGUUUUGAAGACGGUGGGAGAGGGAGUGAAGAAGGUACAUCGUGAGUCUUGAGUCUUCAGCUCGUAUUGUUUCCGGUUCUUCCUCUCUCAUCUCAGAUCUGCCGCUUGCUCGCUGCCGUUGUGUCUGCUUCUUCUUCUUCUUCAUGGCCGAGAGGCGACAACAAAACCACAAAGGCCAAGCACUUCAAUCCUGAAAAUAGGCAAUUUACAUAUCCUUAAAAUUGCAAUAUAAAAAUUUGAUAUCAAGCAUAAUUUUUAAGACAUGUAAUUGUGUUUGAAUAUAUGGAAGUUAGAUUAAAUUUC